AUAGAUGGAGCCGCCACACUUUUUGUAGCUGGAAACAGGAGAAUCUUCUCCUACUGGCAAUCUCUACAGCUCCACUUUCUUCUCUUCUCCAUUGCAGAUCUAGGUUCAAGAGGAAGAACAAGAUGUGAUUCUUCACCCUCAUGUAGAACGCGGUCCAGUCAUCCCGGGGUGAUUCCGUGUUUCUUCAUUGGCGCCCACCAAUAUAAACUCUAAAUCCAAGAAUCACAACUUGUUUCUUCUCCAUUCCAUCUUUCAGAUCUGUUUGAUCUGAGCUCACGACAACAGUCACAUCUCUCGUUCUACCAUAAAAAUAGAAGAUCAAGAGCUCCUCAGAUCUAUGUGCAAAGGGAGAUCUAGGUGCAAUUUCUCUAUCACCCAAGGUUGUUCCACAUCUGGUACCUAAACGUAAAUUGGCUGGUAUUAGCUCCCUAGCGUCGGGAUAAGUCUCGCAAGCUUGAUUGCAGUAUCUGAUGGAACAAUACUUUAUGUUUAUUUACGAUCCGCUGUGGAUAUAUUUAACCCUGUAAUACAUUUUGAUAUUACAAUCAGAGGUUGAUGUUUAUAUAUUUAUCUUU
rnacentral:lncRNA from 1 species